UCUUCUACUUGUUCAUGUUGCUUAAGAUUCUCUUUGUUCGACAAAAAGAUAAUUGGAAUUCAUUUUUUUGUGAAUUGUUCUGUGAAAAAUCGAAAAUCGAUUUUGAA